GUGGGGAAUAUUGGACAAUGGGCGAAAGCCUGAUCCAGCCAUGCCGCGUGUGUGAAGAAGGUCUUCGGAUUGUAAAGCACUUUAAGUUGGGAGGAAGGGCAGUAAGUUAAUACCUUGCUGUUUUGACGUUACCGACAGAAUAAGCACCGGCUAACUUCGUGCCAGCAGCCGCGGUAAUACGAAGGGUGCAAGCGUUAAUCGGAAUUACUGGGCGUAAAGCGCGCGUAGGUGGUUUUGUAAGUUGGAGGUGAAAUCCCCGGGCUCAACCUGGGAACUGCCUCCAAAACUGCAUGACUAGAGUACGGUAGAGGGUAGUGGGAUUUCCUGUGUAGCGGUGAAAUGCGUAGAUAUAGGAAGGAACACCAGUGGCGAAGGCGACUACCUGGACUGAUACUGACACUGAGGUGCGAAAGCGUGGGGAGCAAACAGGAUUAGGAACCCGAGUAGUCC
rnacentral:rRNA from 1 species